rnacentral:RNase_P_RNA from 1 species
GAGAGAGGCUGAGCGGCUGCCGGUAACAAAUGUUGCUGAGGAAAGUCCCCCCACAUUCCAAAAACACGAAAGCCUGUAAGGGUGUAAUGGUGAGAACCAUGUCAAUGGCACAGAAACGAUACCGACCUCAGGUAAGUUUCCUGUAUAGUAGAUUUGCCUGGUGUCCUGCUUACCUUGUAAGCACUACACGCACAAAAGCGAUGAUGCUGUGAAGCUGAGGUCGUGCAGUGUUCGGAUGGAACGCGUGAAUACUCGUGUGUGCAAGCCAGAAUAAAGGCUAUAUCAUAUGUUUUUUGGACAUAUAGCCUUUGGAAGUGUGGCGCUUAGCUGAACGCCGUUAAAGCAUGACGAAAGCCUAUAAUGGCUUAGUGCAAAACAGCAGGGGGCUUACACCCCUCACUC